rnacentral:rRNA from 1 species
CGACCGGCGCACGGGUGAGUAACACGUAUCCAACCUGCCGUCUACUCUCGGCCAGCCUUCUGAAAGGAAGAUUAAUCCAGGAUGGGAUCAUGAGUUCACAUGUCCGCAUGAUUAAAGGUAUUUUCCGGUAGACGAUGGGGAUGCGUUCCAUUAGAUAGUAGGCGGGGUAACGGCCCACCUAGUCAACGAUGGAUAGGGGUUCUGAGAGGAAGGUCCCCCACAUUGGAACUGAGACACGGUCCAA